rnacentral:rRNA from 1 species
UACGGGGGGAGCAAGCGUUGUUCGGAUUUACUGGGCGUAAAGGGCGCGUAGGCGGCGUGACAAGUCACUUGUGAAAUCUCCGGGCUUAACUCGGAACGGUCAAGUGAUACUGUCGUGCUAGAGUACAGAAGGGGCAACUGGAAUUCUCGGUGUAGCGGUGAAAUGCGUAGAUAUCGAGAGGAACACCGGUGGCGAAGGCGGCCUUCUGGACAGCAACUGACGCUGAGACGCGAAAGCGUGGGGAGCAAACAGG